UACGGAAGGCAGCAGUGGGGAAUAUUGCACAAUGGGCGAAAGCCUGAUGCAGCUAUGCCGCGUGUAUGAAGAAGGCCUUAGGGUUGUAAAGUACUUUCAUCGGGGGGAAAAACAAAACUAAUAAUUUUAUUUCUUGACGUUACCCGAAAAAGAAGCACCGGCUAACUCCGUGCCAGCAGCCGCGGUAAUACGGAGGGUGCUAGCGUUAAUCAGAAUUACUGGGCGUAAAGAGCACGUAGGUGGUUUUUUUAAAGUCAGAUGUGAAAUCCCUGGGCUUAACCUAGGAACUGCAUUUUGAAACUGAAAUACUAGAGUAUCGUAGAGGGAGGUAGAAUUCUAGGUGUAGCGGUGAAAUGCGUAGAUAUCUGGAGGAAUACCUGUGGCGAAAGCGGCCUCCUAAACGAAUACUGACACUGAGGUGCGAAAGCGUGGGGAGCAAACAGGGAUUAGAUACC
rnacentral:rRNA from 1 species